rnacentral:rRNA from 1 species
CGUAGGGCCCGAGCGUUAUCCGGUAUUAUUGGGCGUAAAGCGCGCGUAGGUGGUUUGGUAAGACUAUGGUGAAAGAUCCGGGCUCAACUCGGGGAACGCCACGGUUACUGCCAGACUAGACGAUAGCAGGGGCAAGCAGAAUUCUCGGUGUAGGAGUGAAAUCCGUUGAGAUCGAGAGGAAUACCAAUGGCGAAGGCAGCUUGCUAGGCUAUAUGUGACACUGAGGCGCGAAAGCGUGGGGAGCGAACGGGAUUAGAUACCCCGGUAGUCCACGCCGUAAACGAUGCACACUAGCUAUCAGAAGCAUCGACCCUUCUUGUAGCGAAGCUAACGCGUUAAGUGUGCCGCCUGUGAAGUACGGUCGCAAGACUA